CAGCAGCCACGGUAAUACGUAGGGUGCGAGCGUUAAUCGGAAUUACUGGGCGUAAAGCGAGCGCAGACGGUUACUUAAGCAGGAUGUGAAAUCCCCGGGCUCAACCUGGGAACUGCGUUCUGAACUGGGUGACUAGGGUGUGUCAGAGGGAGGUAGAAUUCCACGUGUAGCAGUGAAAUGCGUAGAGAUGUGGAGGAAUACCGAUGGCGAAGGCAGCCUCCUGGGAUAACACUGACGUUCAUGCUCGAAAGCGUGGGUAGCAAACAGGAUUAGAUACCCCGGUAGUCCCUGUCUCUUAUAC
rnacentral:rRNA from 1 species